GUACGACACCUACCAGACAUAUUCCCCAAAAGAUAAUCUUUCAGCUUUUCUGGCAGUCAUACCCCUUAUCUGCUGUUUUGGCAGCACGGGGCACGAUAACUGUCAACUGAGUUUGGAGGAAAAAAAAGUGAAAAAGUAUUUAAAUAAACAAUGAACAAUCGUCUAUCAGUAAAAUCCUGUCCGGCAAUAGCUGCAAACGUGAAAAAAGAGUUUUCAGAAAUCGGAUGGAUUCGAUUGUUUCAGGGCAAUACUAAUGAGAUGCGCCGUGAUGAAAACGUAAGGAGUUCCGAGAGAAAUAAGUAAAUAAGAGAGAAAUAAGUGAAUAAGCAAUGAACAAUCGUCUAUCAAUCAAAUCCUGUCCGGGUGCAGUGAUGAAAACGUAAGGAGUUCGGAGGGAAAAAGUGACCCGGCACAAAAUGUUAAAUGUGAACAAUUACCUAUCAAUUAAGUCAUGACCGGUGAUAGCUGCAAACGUAAGGAAAAAGGCAUGUUCGUUUUCCGUUAUCAUUGCACAAAAAAACUAGUUUUCAGAAAUCGUCGAAUGAAAUCGGUUUUUUGGGACAACAUUGAUGAAAUACACCGGGAUGUGUCAGUGUAAAUGUAAAUGUCUAAAAACCAUUUCUUUAUUGAAAAAUCAAGUAAUUGUAAAAAUAAAGUGAAUGGUCACAUCGAUUUAAUUUUUUCUCAGUUCCUUCUGCAAUUUUCUCACUAGCCGAAAUGGCAGCGUAUUUGAAUGCAGCUCCAUACUGGUGGGCAUUUGGGGCAUCGUUUCGACCGCAACGUCUUCUGGACUCUGAGAAGCUAUUCUCGAGGCAGUCUUGAGAAACGUCCCGCAUAGUUCUUCAAAACAAAUUUCGUUCAUCAAUUUAUCCCACAGCAAACGGAGUCCGUGUAUGUUUUCUCGGAACCCUUCGAUGUAGUUCUAUGACGAUGUAGGUCUUAUGACGGUCCGCCUCGCUACCAAAAGAGGUAGGCCGUAAGAAAUACUUGUAGCAUUCAAUAACACUAAAAAAUGAGUCAAUGAAACAUGUAAUUAAACCAACAGAUGCGAAUGCUUCU